rnacentral:lncRNA from 1 species
UCUUUUCUCAAUUUUUUUUAUAAAAUCAUGAUUUAAGUGAAUAUUAUAUUUUUAUUUGUCUCUUUAGUCAUCGACCUAAAGUGAGACAUCAUAACCAUAGUUUUAGAGAUGUUUCUUUCGAUCUUUCAUUGAGUUUUGAAUACAAUAUCAUAUUUUAAUCUUUGUUAUUUGCAUGCAAUAUUCACUGAAUGUGUUCUAUAAUGAUCCUUCUUAUGUAUAGU